rnacentral:rRNA from 1 species
GACGAACGCUGGCGGCGUGCCUAAUACAUGCAAGUAGAACGCUGAAGAGAGGAGCUUGCUCUUCUUGGAUGAGUUGCGAACGGGUGAGUAACGCGUAGGUAACCUGCCUUGUAGCGGGGGAUAACUAUUGGAAACGAUAGCUAAUACCGCAUAACAAUGGAUGACACAUGUCAUUUAUUUGAAAGGGGCAAUUGCUCCACUACAAGAUGGACCUGCGUUGUAUUAGCUAGUAGGUGAGGUAAUGGCUCACCUAGGCGACGAUACAUAGCCGACCUGAGAGGGUGGUCGGCCAAACUGGGACUGGGAAACGGCCCAGACUCCUACGGGAGGCAGCAGUAGGGAAUCUUCGGCAAGGGGGGCAACCCUGACCGAGCAACGCCGGGUGAGUGAAGAAGGUUUUCGGAUCGUAAAGCUCUGUUGUAAGUCAAGAACGGGUGUGAGAGUGGAAAGUUCACACUGUGACGGUAGCUUACCAGAAAGGGACGGCUAACUACGUG